CUGGCCGUCAAGGCAUAGGCCCGUAUGCCUCCUGCUGCUCCUUUCUCCAGUUCGUCUUCAUCCUCCGGAUCGAGACCUUGGAGCAGGCUCCAUGGACCCGCCCAUGGAAACGGAGGGCGAUUCCGAACAGAGGAUUAGCCGCGGGAAUGCGGGCCCUGCUCGUGUUGCCCGGCCUAUAGAGUCCCAGGCUUAUAUCAGCGUCGCUGAGGCUGACAUUCGUCGUGUAGGGGACCUCCGUAGCGGUGGCGGAGAUCAUCGGCGGCGCCAGGGGUAUUCACGUGUAUUCAUAUGAAUACCCAAGAUUUGGCCCCAAAAAAUUAAUACAUUUCUUAUUUAACGGCCCACAGCCCAUAGCCCACACAGGAUACCAGCUACACUCGUCCCGUUCACUCGAUCCAACCCCCACUCGGCCGUUCCCCAAGUCCCCAACCUAACCUAGCGACUGCAGCCAGCGGCGGUGGCGGCGACGAGUAGCGGCCAGCGGCGACGGACAGUACUGAUUGCAAGCAUCGGCAAGCGGAGCCGCUGAACGGGCGACCAACGGCAGGCCGGCAGCGGACCAGGUGGAUUGGUAGUGCAGUCAAAUUGGACAAAUUGCUGCUAGUGCUGGAUUUGAAUGCAACGAGCUACUGCCUAAGAUGAAGAAGAAGGGUGUUUGUAUUGUUGCAUUGUGGGAAAGAUCUUCCAAUGCAAAUAAAAGAACUUCGACAUCUACACCAAAUCCUCCUGAUGUUGAAGUUGAGAACAGUAGUAUCAUUCCUCCUACUAUUGAGAGCAAUCUACAACUGGCACUUGUGCAAGCACAUGAACCCGAUGAUGGCCACCCAGAACCUGAGAGUGCAGCUGGCUCCCCAACCCCAAUUGUAGAAGAUGAUGAAGCAAAUGAUGAAGUUCAAUUUGAAGUAGAUUUGGAAGCACUUGAGUCUGAUCCUGGGAAACAGAUCCCCAUCUCUAGGUACAAUGUCAAUGACCAGGAUAAAGUUAGAAGGAGAUACAUCAAGUUGGGGGCAUGUCAACCAAAGAAUCAUAAUUUUGAGUAUAGAGAUAUAAGUGGAUUACAGCAUCACUUUUCUCCUUGGUUUAAGGAUUACAAGUGGCUUGAGUAUAGUGUGGACAAAGAAGCCGCUUUCUGCUUCGUUUGCUAUUUGUUCAAGGAUAAAACAAGAUGUCCCGGUGGAGAUGCUUUUGUGAAGAAGGGAUUUAAUAUAUUGUAAGAAGGAUAUCAUCACUUUAUUAAUCAAAAGCCUUCAUUUCCUGGCGCCUCCACUGGCGGAGAUGCCGGAUUUCUUGGCGAGGACCCGCUCUUGCAAGUUUGUUCGGAGGCUACGAGCGAAUGGACACGCAGGGUAAGGAUCAGAAAGGCCCCCGUUGAGCGCAACCUCAACCCUAACCGGAAAAGUGCCCUUGAAUUGUCCAUGAGGGCGUUCAUAUUGAAAAGGGAUGGCAAUGUUGUCAACCCAGCUGUCGGGACCUCUUUUGAUUCAUUGGAUGAAGCCUAUCAAUUCUACACUUUGUAUUCGUGGGAGCUUGGAUUUGGUAUAAGGUAUUUGAAAAGCAGGCUAAAUGUGGAGCGGGUGAAGUGCAUGCAGGAGAUAGUCUGUGGAUGUGCGGUGCAUUUUGUUUUUCAUUUUGUCCAUCACUGUUUGGGCAAAAAAAGUCUAUACAAGCAUAUGUUAUAGGCUGACAAAUCAUGUUAUGUGCAUCGGCAUGGUAAACUGGAGAGGGAGAAUACAAGAUCAACAUGGUGCAGCUGUGCUGAAGGAAAUAUGCCCUAGAGGCAAUAAUGAAGUUAUUAUUUAUUUCCUUAUAUCAUGAUAAAUGUUUAUUAUUCAUGCUAGAAUUGUAUUAACCGGAAGCAUGA